UCCGGGAUGGAAGAUGGCGAGAAAAGCUGUGUGUAUUUCUGCGGUGCCCGUACCGCAAACCGACACAGGUAGGUAGGAAGAAGAUUCUAAGGCCAACGGGAGAAGGGUUGUUAAGGAACUCGGCAAAUUGACCCCGUAACUUCGGGAGAAGGGGUGCUCCAGAGAUGGAGCCGCAGAGAAUCGGCCUAAGCAACUGUUUACCAAAAACACAGGUUUGUGCUAAAUCGAAAGAUGACGUAUACGAGCUGACGCCUGCCCGGUGCUGGAAGGUUAAGAGGAGAUGUGCAAGCAUUGAAUCGAAGCCCCAGUGAACGGCGGCCGUAACUAUAACGGUCCUAAGGUAGCGAAAUUCCUUGUCAGGUAAGUUCUGACCCGCAUGGAAGGCGUAGUGAUUUGGGCACUGUCUCGACAGCCCGCCCGGCGAAAUUGUAGUACCGGUGAAGAUGCCGGUUACCCGCGACAAGGCGGAAAGACCCCAUGGAGCUUUACUGUAGCCUAAUAUUGGGUUUCGAUGUUGCAUGCACAGGAUAGAUGGGACACAGGGAAACAAGUGCUUUGGCAUUUGUGGAGUGGCCGUUGGGAUACCAUCCUUGCGAUAUUGGAAUUCUAACCUGCGCCUUUGAAUCAAGGCGGGGGACAUUGUUAGGUGGGCAGUUUGACUGGGGCGGUCGCCUCCUAAAGAGUAACGGAGGCGUUCAAAGGUUCGCUCAGCUUGAACGGAAAUCAAGCAAAAGAGUGCAAACGCAGAAGCGAGCCUAACUGCGAGACUGACGGGUCGAGCAGUAACGAAAGUUGGAGUUAGUGAUCCGGUGGUAUGUGAGUGGAAAUGCCAUCGCUCAACGGAUAAAAGUUACCCUGGGGAUAACAGGCUGAUCUCCCCCAAGAGUCCACAUCGACGGGGAGGUUUGGCACCUCGAUGUCGGCUCAUCGCAUCCUGGGGCUGUAUUCGGUCCCAAGGGUUUGGCUGUUCGCCAAUUAAAGCGGUACGCGAGCUGGGUUCAGAACGUCGUGAGACAGUUCGGUCCCUAUCUGUCGUGGGCGCAGGAUAUUUGAUGGGAGCUGUUCCUAGUACGAGAGGACCGGAGCGGACGUACCUCUGGCGCACCAGUUGUUCUGCCAAGGGCAUAGCUGGGCAACUAUGUACGGAUCGGAUAAACGCUGAAAGCAUCUAAGCGUGAAGCCGACCCAAAGAUAAGAUAUCCCAUUGUUUCAAACAAGUAAGACCCCUUGAAGACUACAAGGUUGAUAGGCAUGAUGUGUAAGUGGAGUGAUCCAUUCAGCAAGCAUGUACUAAUAGGUCGAGGGCUUGACCU
rnacentral:rRNA from 1 species